ACACAUGCGAACUGUAACGAGGCGGUAAGAUAAAAGUCAGUACUGAUUGGACAAUAUCUAAAAAAUAGUCGUCAUAUUUGAACUCGUUCUUUAUGUGCACACAUAACGCGAAUUUACGCAUACUACAUGGAUUAGACCAUUAAAAAAAAAGUUGCAAGGUUGAUAUGGUGAUGUCAUCAACCAACGCACCCUCACUCAUAUUCAGAGAAUGCAAUAAAGCAAAUAUUUGCUAACGAUGUGGUGAUGGGGAUGAUGAUGAUGAUACGAAAAACUCAGCUUAUAAACAUUUAACUGUAAAAUUUAUAUGCUUGAAUUUACUAGUGUGUGUGGAUGGACGGAUGCAGAUGGUUCAAUUCGGAAGCGCCAAUUCGAGAUGAUUUCUUUACUCCAUAUUCAAGUACACUACAAAAUGUGUGUAAAUAAUGUGAACUAAAAAUGUGGAAAAUAAGAAAAAUAAAGAAGUAUUUAUAAUAAACUUUUUUCUACUGAGGAGAAGACAACUACCAUUUACAAACUAUAAACAUAUAGUAUAAGAAUAAAGAAGCGAAAAUGAAUUGAGAUGAGCAUAAUCAAACAAACUGAACUUUUUUGUAUUAAGCAUUUUUCUGGAAAAUAUGAACGAAAGCACUAAGCUAAAAUGUCAACAAAAACUAAGAGUGCAAAAGAAUGAAAACCACUGAAAUGCGGACAAUUAUCGGAAAGUAAUCACGUAAAGCUACGCCAAAUAUUUUUUUCCACUUUAAGCAACUUAUGAACGCAAGCACUAGUUUUAAGUACCAGCCAACCAAAACUACCUUACAGAAACCGGAGCACAACGGCAGUGAAAUCGUAUAAAAGGUCAGCGCAAAUAUUGGUCGUUCUUUAAGAAAACUAGAAAUAUCUGGGGGUUAUUUUCAACGAAAAGUUUGACUUGUACGGGUACAUAGACAAUAUCGUGAAAAAGGCGAAACGUAUGAAUGUCCUGUACCAGAAUGUACUACGGAGCAAGUGCACGCCCAAUAAGGAUAUUAAACUACUGAUCUACAAACAGAUCAUAAGACCUGUUGUUAGUUACGCUUUCCGGUCUGGUCGGCAAUCUCUUCCCAUCAAAUGAAAAGACCAAGAGUAAUGGAGAGGAAAAUCCUGAGCCAAUGUUGCAAUCUAAAGCUCUACAAAAUGCCAGAUGGCUCAGUCAGGAAACCAUGUUCCAGAAAGGUAUACGAAACACAUUUCUUGUAGCCGCAGCCAUCAAGUGUUUGGAAAGAUGCACGUAUCCAGAGAACAGACUUGUUUAAAAGUGUAUUCCUACGCGUACCUUAGACGAACUGUAUGAGCAACCAUACCUCAGUAUUGAUUUCCCACUAACGCUUAAACAUGCUAACACAUUAAUCACAAAUAAUAACUUACACUUCUAUCAUAGAAAAAAAUUCAUAUGAUCUAACGAGGUUAGUGUAUAACACUUUGCAAUGACUGUAUAUAGGCGAGAGAAAAUUUAGGUAGUUAAUAAGUUUUAGAUGUAAAUAGAUUUUAAGCAUGUAUAUAGCUCUAGAUUUAAGUGGAAAGUAAAAAUAUAAAAGAAACGCCUUCUUUCUUAUUUCCUUUUUUCGGGUUGAUUUGUCAUAAUAUACAUAUAUAUUGAUGUUUAAUAAUAAGGGACUUAAAUUUUACUGCAGUAAAUGCCAUAAUCUUAGAAAAGUGUAAGUUACAUUAAGAAAAUGGUGUAAUUGUAGAACUUAAUACGAAAUGAGUUAAGCGCAAAAUUAUCGAGGUUUUUAUUAGGAUAAGUGACAAAUAGGGCCAACGUACAACGGGUUAGUCUAUCGGAAGGGAAAUUCUGGGUGGUAGAGACUACUAGUUCACCAUCCAUAGGAUGGUGAUAGAUGUCUCACCUAGGCUAUUUGUAAGGGAGAAGGCAGAGUAGUAGAGACUGGUAGUUUAAUAUUUUGAGUUAUCCUUAAAAUAUAGUAAAACUGCCUUAAUAGCCAAUCACUCCAUGACUUAAUCCCAUGUAAGAGAAAAUUCUAGGUGCCAGAGACUACCAGUCUAGCACUCAUUGGAUUCUCUUGGACAGGUUAGAGCUGCCUAAGCUGUUCCUAAGGCAGAAGGCAGAAUAAUAGAGACUACUAGCCCAACACUCUGGAUUCGUCUUACAAUAGGCUAGAACUUCCUUGACAAAUUGACCAGAGUGCAUUGGGAUCCUUGCUAUUGCGACCACUGAAGCAUAACUUCCUUUUCCAGAAUAAAUAAACCUACUGAGCCCGCGAAACUUCGUAUCCAUUUAGCAAAGUGAGUCGUGAAAUCUCUUUUCACCGCGACCGUCUUGCUGGUUUCCUUUCCUUGCUCUUCUCUCCUUGGAUGUUUUUACCUUCUAUCCUGUUUGCAACUUCGUGAACACUUAGACGUAACAAAGAUACUUUCAUCAAAUGAAGAAGAAACUAUACCAGCCAGAUUGUAGCGGAAGUUCCGGUCUUUAAUUUCUUCGAUUUUAUACAUUUUCUUGGGACGGGUCAGCUGGAAAGCCAUGAGUCAUACCACAGC